rnacentral:rRNA from 1 species
UUAAACAGCCAUAUCACCCUGGAGCCCAAGACCGGUUACUCACUGAGGCUAAGCAGGGCUGAGCCUGGUCAGUACCUGGAUGGGAGACCACAUGAGAAAAACUAGGUUGUUGUUGGAA